CAGUUUCAUGUGAACUAAUAUUAAGUCGAAAAAUGAAUUCUUCUGAUCUAAUCAUCUCACAAGAAGUCAGCUGAGUAGCAUGGUGCUCACCAAAAACAAUACUGUACUUAUGGAACCAAAUAUGGAACUGAUGUUCAACAUUUCCAGUCCCUUUGAUGAAUACGUCUCACCAGAAUGGAUAUUCUUACAAUAACUCAUCUGUAUCUGCAUAACACCACUAUAUUUACCAAGAUUACAACAUCAACAUAUUGCCGCCAACAAUCUAAAUCUUCAUUUUAAUGACCACAGAAGGAUGGAAGGCAGAGUCAACCUUGAGCUGGUCAGGAUCGAACUCCAGGCUCUGCACAGAGUUAUCUGCAA